CAUGAUAAAUAGCGCAGUGAAGGCCAUAAAUAUUUUGCUAACAAUGAAAGAGCAUAAUGAGAAAAUUGUGACCACAAUAAAGCAAGUUUACAAUGCACAGUAUUCUUACUGGAAGCAUCAAUCCAAAAUUGUUACCGGACUCACCAAUCAGGAAGAUUUACUAAUUCCUAAUCCGGGAUUUUUGCGGAUUCCAUAAUCUGGAAUACGAAAAAAAAAAUACAAAUUUUGUAUUCCAUAAAACUAUUGGACUGCAUUGUCUGGAAUAAUACAUAUGAACUGCAUAAAUGAAAAUUCGAAGAAAAAAUAAACUACAGAUUUGAAAAACAAAAAAUUGACUUACCUUCUUAUCCAACAUCAAGAGAAAUCACCCUUCUCCCACCAAGUUGCCGAGACACCACCCUAAACCACCAACAAAAAUGCAAGAUCGAAUGACGUCGCUGAGAGAGAAAUGAAGUUCGUGGAGUGUGACCGUGCAAUCUGUGGGCAAAGAAGAAGAAAAUAAUAAUGUAAGUCUUAAGUGCAUUUUAGGUUUUUUAAAAAUUAAUAGGAACAAUUUUAUUUU
rnacentral:lncRNA from 1 species